rnacentral:rRNA from 1 species
AUUGAACGCUGGCGGCAUGCUUUACACAUGCAAGUCGAACGGUAACAGGGAGCUUGCUCCGCUGACGAGUGGCGAACGGGUGAGUAAUGCGUCGGAACGUGCCGAGUAGUGGGGGAUAACGCAGCGAAAGUUGUGCUAAUACCGCAUACGUACUGAGGUAGAAAGUGGGGGACCUUCGGGCCUUCCGCUAUUCGAGCGGCCGACGUCUGAUUAGCUAGUAGGUGAGGUAAAGGCUCACCUAGGCGACGAUCAGUAGCGGGUCUGAGAGGAUGAUCCGCCACACUGGGACUGAGACAGGCCCAGACUCCUACGGGAGGCAGCAGUGGGGAAUUUUGGGCAAUGGGCGAAAGCCUGAUCCAGCCAUGCCGCGUGUCUGAAGAAGGCCUUCGGGUUGUAAAGGACUUUUGUCGGGGAGGAGAUCCCCAGCGCUAAUACCGCUGGGGGAUGACAGUACCUGAAGAAUAAGCACCGGCUAACUACGUGCCAGCAGCCGCAGUAAUAC